rnacentral:rRNA from 1 species
UACGUAGGGGGCAAGCGUUGUCCGGAUUUACUGGGCGUAAAGAGCGCGUAGGCGGACGCUUAAGUGUGGCCUGAAAGCCCCCGGCUCAACCGGGGAGGGUGGCUGCAAACUGGGCGUCUUGAGGGCGAUAGAGGAGAGCGGAAUUCCUGGUGUAGCGGUGAAAUGCGUAGAUAUCAGGAGGAACACCGGUGGCGAAGGCGGCAUCCUGGACCGACACUGACGCUGAGGAGCGAAAGCCAGGGGAGCAAACGGG